GCUUAUGUGAGAGUUCAUGUGCUAUGCGGGCUAUGUGGUGAACAAGUAAAGAUACAGGGCGCUCAAGGAGUGAAGAUCUUUGGGAGUGGUGACGAAGUUGGUUUUCAUGAAAUCCUCACCUCAGCCUGUCAGGUGCAGGGCUAGAGAAAGACUGACAAGGUUGUUGACUGUAUGCAAGAGAUGAGUACUAGGUUUUAUAGUUUCUGGUUUGAUAAGAAAGUAUAGGUGCUUGUUUGCUUUUAUUGGGAUAAUAUGCUGAUAAAUAAUCAACCAUGGAUUGAUUUCACUGGAUAGAGGGAUUCAGGUAGGAAGUAGGAAUGUGGGGAAGGGAAAUACGCUUGUGGGGGAUGGUGUGGCAUCCAUCAAGGCAGCUGGAGCUGUGAUGUCUUCCCUUAGGCUAAGUAACGAAGUGUUAAGUCCAAGUAAUAGAGUCCGUGAGGAGAUUGCAGAAGCAAGACCGAGCUACAACAGUCUGAUUAAAGAAAUAGAUUAAUGAAGUGCAUGACGUGGAAUUGCAUGGGUCUUGGAAGACCUGAUUUUAAGAGAGUAAUUUUAAUUUCUUGUGUGCUAGUUUUAAGGUGGAUCAUUUUUGUUUAUUGGAAACUAAAAUAGAUGUGGAGAAGGUCUAGGGAAACUUUUAUGGAGGGUUUUUUUUGAUGAGAUGGUUAGUUGUAGCCCUGCUGGUAGGGCUGGUGGUCUAUGUUUAAUCUGGAACUCAUCCAAGGUUGAAGUUAAUGUUAUCACCUCGACUGCUCAUCAUUUGUAUUGUUUAGCGAACGAUCCUUAUUCUAAUCAAGAUCAAUUUUUUA